UACAUGUGGGGCAAGCGUUGUUCGGAAUUACUGGGCAUAAAGGGUGCGUAGGCGGCUUGUUAAGUCAGGGGUGAAAGUUUUCGGCCCAACCGGAAAAUUGCCUUUGAUACUGGCGAGCUCGAGUGCGUGAGGGGUAACCGGAACGAGCAGUGUAGCGGUGGAAUGCGCAGAUAUCAGGAGGAACACCGAUGGCGAAGGCAGGUCUCUGGGCCAUUACUGACACUGAGAAGCGAAAGCAUGGGGAGCGAACAGG
rnacentral:rRNA from 1 species